UGUUUAGGUGCAUUUUGCACAAAAUUAGCUAUACAAAAGUGUGCAAAUCACCAACGUUUAUGUACAAAAUAGAAUAUAAAAAAAUGAAACCAAAUAUAAUUUUUAUUUUUCUGUUCAUAUAAUAAUGACUUGAUGAAAACAUGUUUAACUUAGAUAUAUUAUCUCAUAGUCUUAUUUAUAAAAUAAUCAUAUCAAUAAAGAUACAGGAAAAUGUUAUUGUUAAGUAAGCCAAAUUUGUAUAAUAAGCGGUGCAAACAAGAUUUGAAUCUACAUACAUUUGAAAUAUGGGGACUUGUAGUUAGGGAUUGUAUAGAACGUGUUCAAAUAUAUGCAUGUAAGAGAUUUAUGAAUAUUAUCGUGUAAUGCAGUUGUAAUGGUAGAUUGUGGAAGAUACCCAAUGUAUAUAUACAAUGUACGUGUGUAUGCAACAAAAAGAUGUAUUAAAUUUUGGAUACGGAUUUUAUAUAUGGAUGAUGAGAGAUAUGUUAAAAAAGUUAUUUUAUGCUUAAACAGUUAGAUGAACUAGGUUAUAAAAAUUGGGUGACAACUCUACGAUUAAAUCUCUAUAAGAAUGGUUUUGGCUAUAUUUUGGAACAACAAAAGCUUGAAAAUGCAAAAUUAUUUCUUACUCUUUACGUAAAUAGAUUAAAAGAUCAAUACAUGCAAAAUUGGAACAGUGAGUGUUUAGAAAACAGAAAGCUAGUAUUCUAUAGAAAUUUUAAAUGUAAUAUUAAUUUUGAAAAAUAUCUGGAGAAAUAUAUAUUGAAAUUUAGGAGUAGUCUUGCUGCUUUUAGGUCCUCUUCUCAUCAAUUAAUGAUAGAGAAAGGAAGACAUAUUGAUAUUCCAAGGGAAAUCCGUUUUUGUAUACACUCUCGAUGUGAAAUUGAAUGCGAAUUUUUAAAAUGUCCUUUAUAUGAUACUUUAUGUCAACAAUUUAUACCAAAUAAGUAUUUGGAACAUCCAAAUAAUCAUAAAUUUAACUUAUUUAUGUCAUGCAAAAGUGUUAAGACAAUACGAAACUUAUCAAUGUUUUUAUAUUAAUGCAUUUAAACUGCGAAAUGAAUCUAUAUCUUAAAUAAUGUCUUUAUGUUAGUUGCUAAAUCUUAUUACACAAUUACAUGUUUUGUGAAAAUUGGCUAAAAUGCUGUUCUGACAACAUGUCAUUGUACUUUAUACAACUCUAUGUAAACCCGUAUAUUAUGUGAUGCUAUGUUAUCCUAACUAGCUGCCAUAUCAUUAUGCUAUUGUGUUUAUAUAUUUAUACAUGUGUAUGGGCCGGUGGCCUAAAUACAAAUUUGAAAUAAACUCUUUAUAAUACCUUUAUUUUAAAUACUUUAUACAAAAAAUAUUUUAAUAUGAAAAAAUUAUAAUGUUUCAUACUUUUAUGUACUUUUUAUUGGAACACCAAAACGUUAUUUGGCGAUGAUCACGUAUAUGUUUUUUUUUUUACUGAAUGAUUUGACUAUUUAAUUAUCUUUUAGGGUGUAAAUCCUGGAGGGCCUUACGAAAAAGCAUUACGAAAGGACUUCUACGUCAGCAUCAUAUGUUUCGUUGUUUUUACUAUAGCAUAUGCGAUAUUCGCCAGUGUAUUUGUAAAGGACCAGUGGAUGGAAUGAGUUUACAUUUAUGCAUUUCAAACCAAAAAGGAACUAUUAUGUUUUUUAUGUUUUUGAUAUACCAUGAUACACAUAAUUUUCAAUAUAAAUACUCGAGCAAAAUGGAAAGUGAACAAAAGUAUAACCAGAAUUGAUUGUUUUAUGUAUUGCUCAAACUAACUAUAUUACCCUUGCUCUUGAUUCUUAUGUGCCGUUCUUCUACACAAUAUAAUUUUCUUUGUUAUUGUUAUUUAAUUUAACUAAAAUCUCUUAAAUAGAAAGAAAUUACUUAAUUUAUGAGCAUUUUUGCCGCAUCAUUUUACAAAUACCUGAUCACACACAGCUUUGCUCUAAUGUUCAAUUGAUUGCAAUUAAAUUGAUGUACAAAAUAAGCAUAUGCUUACUAAGGAAUUAUGUUCUCGGAAUGAGUGAAUAAGAGUCCAUGAUUGAUAAAAACAUUAUAAAACAUUAUACGAAUUGUUAACAAAUAAAGUGGCAUACACUAUUUUGUAUGCAUUGGCAUGUUUUUGAAUUUCGUUCAAAAAGGAAAAAAAAAGCUUUUCCAUUUAAAAACAAUGUAACUUUCGUUGAAAAUAUCUAAUACAAACUGUUACUUUAGGGGCUUAUAAUAUAUAAGUAUAUAGGUAUAUAAUAUUUGUAUUUGUUAAUUGAUAUCAAGUCUUGAUUAUAUUUUAUUUCAAAAUCA